rnacentral:rRNA from 1 species
UACGGGGGGGGCAAGCGUUGUUCGGAAUUACUGGGCGUAAAGGGCUCGUAGGCGGCCAACUAAGUCGGAUGUGAAAUCCCCAGGCUUAACCUGGGAAUUGCAUCCGAUACUGGAUGGCUUGAAUCCGGGAGAGGGAUGCGGAAUUCCAGGUGUAGCGGUGAAAUGCGUAGAUAUCUGGAGGAACACCGGUGGCGAAGGCGACUC